rnacentral:rRNA from 1 species
CAGUCGCCGCGGUAAUACGAAGGGUGCAAGCGUUACUCGGAAUUACUGGGCGUAAAGCGUGCGUAGGUGGUGGUUUAAGUCCGUUGUGAAAGCCCUGGGCUCAACCUGGGAAUUGCAGUGGAUACUGGGUCACUAGAGUGUGGUAGAGGACAGUGGAAUUUCCGGUGUAGCAGUGAAAUGCGUAGAGAUCGGAAGGAACAUCUGUGGCGAAGGCGACUAUCUGGGCCAACACUGACACUGAGGCACGAAAGCGUGGGGAGCAAACAGGAUUAGAGACCCCCGUAGUCCCUGUCUCUUAUAC